GCCACAUCGGGUCCAGCUCCUGCCUGAAGCACACAUUCUCGACCACGGAUGUGUUCUGGACCCAGGCCUCCUGGGGCACGUAAGCCACGGAACCCUAAAAGACAACUCACUUCGGCCAUCAAAAGGCAAAUAGGGAUUGAGCUCCCCAAGGAGGGCAGAGAGCAGAGAGGACUUCCCUGCCCCCACUGCACCAACAACCGCCAGCAGAUGACCCUGGGGCACAGUGAGGUUUAUCCUGGCAACACAGGAGGGGAGAUGUGUCCCUGGGCAGGGCCCAGCCUGAGUCUGCCUGGAAUUGGUGAACCCCGACAGAGCCAGCCUUUCCUGUUGGCGACUCAUGCAGAGGUCACUGUGGGUAAGUGUGGAGCUGUCCUUCUCUCUCACAGUCCUUGUCCGGCUAUUUAAGCGGCCACCUUGCCCCACACACGUGCACAUGCACACACACACGUGCCGUCACACAAGCACACACGUGCAUUACACUGCACACUCACGCACACUCCUGCAGUCAUACAAACGCACACCCUUAGCAUACCACACGUACCACAAACAUGUGCAGCCACAGACGCGUGCGUGCACACUCACGUGUAUGCACAAGUGCACACACAUUCACGCACACGUUCUAGUGCACAUCUGCACACACGCUCAUGCCUGCAUGUGCACACGUGCGUGCACACACCUGCUUGCACAUAUGCACACACACACACACACACACACACACACACACACAGUUUAUUGUGGCAGGAGGGUCUAACCAGCCUUGCCUCUUGUCCAGGGUAUUACAGUAGGCUCUUCACCACUCUCCCUGCUUCUGCCCUUGCCCUCCACCCCUGCUCAUGUGCUGUAGCCCAUCUUCCACCCCGUGGCCAGAAGGACCCGUUAAAACCCGUUAAAAGUGGGAUCAUGAUGCCUCCUCGCUGAAGCCUCCAGCGGUUCCCAUGUCACUCAGCAUAAAAGUGUGCUGACCACUCUACAUGAUGCCUACCGUGAUGGUCGCUCGGUGUGAUGGUGACUCAGUGACCCUAUCCGGGGAGCUCUCAUGGCUGUAAGCAAUGCUACUUGUGUUUCUCAGCGAUGACUGUGUUGUAACUCCAGAUCGUCCCCGGGGAGGGGGGUUGUCUAAUCCUUCUGGAAAUAAGUGAUUAAGGCCCACCUGCCACCAGCCUUGACUAUUUUAUGAAGAGUUUGGAUUAUUUAUUUAUGCAGCAGUGAGUUACCGUAGGUUUGUUUGCAACCCCGCAUGGACUGAAGUCACGGCUGGCCGUGCUUUAGGAAGGCUAGUCUGGCAGCAGUUUGUGAAAUAAACUGGAGGACAGGACGGUGCCCAGUGUGUGUGGAUGUGGGGAAGGGGGGCCCCUGCAGCCAUCUGACAGCCGGCAUCAGUGUGGACCGGGGGUGCUACCUGAGCAGAACCUGCCCCUGUUGCCUCCCCCCAUGCCAGAAGCAGCAACAGUUCAGACGCUGGAACCUUCUACGGGAGAAUGACAGACCUUGUUAGCCACUACCAGCUUCAGAAUCAGCUAACUCAGCACAAAGCAAGGAUCCCUGACUGGGAAGGAUCCAGGAAAGAGAGAUCAGAGUGACCUCACCAGAAAUGUGGACACUUGGAAGGACACCAGAGACACAGAGAAGAGGAGGCUGGAGGUCCUCAAGGCACCCAGCUCCUGGCCCCGGAUGUGCAGGACUCUUUCUAGAAAGGCUCCCUCCCAGCCAUGGGAUUUGACCAUCUUCAUGUUCCUGAUGACGCAGCUGCACUGUUCUAGAAGCUGAGACUGCAUCAGUGCAUAUUCCCUGCUGCCGGGAAGCUUUCAGUCCGAAGAGAGAGAGGAGCCAGGUGCAUCCGGCAAACGGGCAGGCCAAGUUGCCGAACAGCAAUCGCGCCACCCAGUGGCCAAGUGGAGAAGUGCCCGGAAGGCAAACCAGCCCACCGCCAGGAUUGGGAAAAUACUCAAAGAAAGGUGAAAGGAAGGUUAAGCUUUCUCUGGCAAAAAUAGUAUCAUUUGGAGAAAAAUGCUACAGAUGCUAACUGUGGCAACUUCAAUGUCUGUCCCCCCUCCCCCCGCCGGGCCAGGAUUUCAGGGUGACCUUCUGAUGUUAGGGACCGUCCACCAAAAGACCAGGAGGGUGAUGGGUGGGUCUUCUGCAGAUUUGCUGGGGUCAGGGGUCUGCCCCUUUAAUGGCUCUGCAUUUUCCCAGGAGUCCUUCGUCCCCCUCCCUCUUCCUACAUGUGCCCACUGCAUGCUGGGCCCUGGCUACAAGGCGGCCAGUCAGAAAGGGUGCUGGCCCCGUGUCCCAUAGGGUAGGGGCAGUAGGCGUAGAUCUACAGUCACCGUGACGACACCCACUGGAUGGUACUUGGGACCACUCUAUGCUCGCUCACUGUCGCUAUGCCGCUGAUACACCUGCCGGGGGCCUGUGAACUGUGGCACACCUGCCAGAGGUAGACGAAGCAGAUGAUGAUCCAGAUAAUCGGCAGCCACAGCCCGUUAAGGUAGACGACGCUCUCGGUCAGCCGCUGCACGUCCACGGACACCAGGUUGACCACGUCACCCACCAUGCUGGCUUUUCUGGAGGCGCUGGACAGGACCAGGACCUGGGCGGGGCGGGAGGAUGGAGACCUGAGCCCGAGGGAAGGACGGGACGAGUGGGGUGGAGGAGGGCAGGGAGGCCCAAAGCACGGACGGAGCAAGAGCACAGCCGCCUGGCCGGUCUGGGGUCUAAGCUGGUCUGCCCUUGCUGGCAGAGGCCAGUCUCGUCCCCAUCUAGGCUCAGUUCACUCAUCUGUAAAGUGGGCUAGUGAAUCUCCUGAGCCAACCUCCCAGGGCCGUCAUGAGAAUUUGGAGAGAUGACCAAAGAAAAAAAUCCUCUGACAUCCCUAAAACACUGUUGUGGUAAGUCAGUAGCACAAUAUAUAAAACCCUUGGGUUCAUGAUGAUACUGGGGAUCGUUUCCUGAAUUCCAACCAUGCCCCAGGCACUGUGCUAAAUGAACAGGGUCACCGUUUUCUGUGAUGGGGCCCAACCCACAACCAGAUGGACUAGGUGCUGCCAUAUCUCAUUCAGUCUACAAUGCUAUGGACGAAACGCUCUGGUUUUGUGUCACUAAGGGCAAAAAAAGUAAAUGCGAUUAAAUUAA